rnacentral:rRNA from 1 species
UGAGGAAUAUUGGUCAAUGGGCGAGAGCCUGAACCAGCCAAGUAGCGUGCAGGAUGACGGCCCUAUGGGUUGUAAACUGCUUUCAUGUGGGGAUAAAGUGCGUGACGUGUCAUGCAUUGCAGGUACCACAUGAAUAAGGACCGGCUAAUUCCGUGCCAGCAGCCGCGGUAAUACGGAAGGUCCGGGCGUUAUCCGGAUUUAUUGGGUUUAAAGGGAGCGUAGGCUGUCUAUUAAGCGUGGUGUGAAAUUUACCGGCUCAACCGGUGGCUUGCAGCGCGAACUGGUCGACUUGAGUAUGCAGGAAGUAGGCGGAAUUCAUGGUGUAGCGGUAAAAUGCUUAGAUAUCAUGACGAACUCCGAUUGCGCAGGCAGCUUACUGUAGCAUAACUGACGCUGAUGCUCGAAAGUGCGGGUAUCAAACAGG